GUUGGCCAGCUGGCUCGGCGCACGGUUCUCAGCCGAGAAUUAUCUUACGAGUUGAUCGUCCGAGUCGCCAAGAGUAUGAAGGCGCCCGGCAACUCAGGUGCAAGCCUGUCAGGUGGCCUCCUGUGCCUAUUGGUGCUGAUGACCCUGCAAGACAUUCAGGAAAUGCCCAAAGCUGCAUUUCAAGCCCUGAUGA